rfam:Myotis brandtii contig289678, whole genome shotgun sequence.
GGCAGUUCUCUGGUGAUGCACCCCGGAAUUGGGCUCCCUCCUCUCUGAUUCCAGGUGCGUCACCCGAGAACAGCA